rnacentral:rRNA from 1 species
GACGAACGCUGGCGGCGUGCUUAACACAUGCAAGUCGAACGGAAAGGCCCUGCUUUUGUGGGGUGCUCGAGUGGCGAACGGGUGAGUAACACGUGAGUAACCUGCCCUUGACUUUGGGAUAACUUCAGGAAACUGGGGCUAAUACCGGAUAGGAGCUCCUGCUGCAUGGUGGGGGUUGGAAAGUUUCGGCGGUUGGGGAUGGACUCGCGGCUUAUCAGCUUGUUGGUGGGGUAGUGGCUUACCAAGGCUUUGACGGGUAGCCGGCCUGAGAGGGUGACCGGCCACAUUGGGACUGAGAUACGGCCCAGACUCCUACGGGAGGCAGCAGUGGGGAAUAUUGCACAAUGGGCGGAAGCCUGAUGCAGCAACGCCGCGUGCGGGAUGACGGCCUUCGGGUUGUAAACCGCUUUCGCCUGUGACGAAGCGUGAGUGACGGUAAUGGGUAAAGAAGCACCGGCUAACUACGUGCCAGCAGCCGCGGUGAUACGUAGGGUGCGAGCGUUGUCCGGAUUUAUUGGGCGUAAAGGGCUCGUAGGUGGUUGAUCGCGUCGGAAGUGUAAUCUUGGGGCUUAACCCUGAGCGUGCUUUCGAUACGGGUUGACUUGAGGAAGGUAGGGGAGAAUGGAAUUCCUGGUGGAGCGGUGGAAUGCGCAGAUAUCAGGAGGAACACCAGUGGCGAAGGCGGUUCUCUGGGCCUUUCCUGACGCUGAGGAGCGAAAGCGUGGGGAGCGAACAGGCUUAGAUACCCUGGUAGUCCACGCUGUAAACGGUGGGUACUAGGUGUGGGGUCCAUUCCACGGGUUCCGUGCCGUAGCUAACGCUUUAAGUACCCCGCCUGGGGAGUACGGCUGCAAGGCUAAAACUCAAAGGAAUUGACGGGGCCCCGCACAAGCGGCGGAGCAUGCGGAUUAAUUCGAUGCAACGCGUAGAACCUUACCUGGGUUUGACAUGGAUCGGGAGCGCUCAGAGAUGGGUGUGCCUCUUUUGGGGUCGGUUCACAGGUGGUGCAUGGCUGUCGUCAGCUCGUGUCGUGAGAUGUUGGGUUAAGUCCCGCAACGAGCGCAACCCUUGUUCACUGUUGCCAGCACGUUAUGGUGGGGACUCAGUGGAGACCGCCGGGGUCAACUCGGAGGAAGGUGGGGAUGACGUCAAGUCAUCAUGCCCCUUAUGUCCAGGGCUUCACGCAUGCUACAAUGGCUGGUACAGAGAGUGGCGAGCCUGUGAGGAUGAGCGAAUCUCGGAAAGCCGGUCUCAGUUCGGAUUGGGGUCUGCAACUCGACCUCAUGAAGUCGGAGUCGCUAGCAAUCGCAGAUCAGCAACGUUGCGGUGAAUACGUUCCCGGGGCU